UACGUAGGGUGCGAGCGUUGUCCGGAAUUAUUGGGCGUAAAGGGCUCGUAGGCGGUUUGUCGCGUCGGGAGUGAAAACCUGGGCUUAACUUGGGAAUUGCGCUUGUGACUGGCGUGCUGGAGUGUGGCAGAGGGAGGUGGAAUUCCACGUGUAGCAGUGAAAUGCGUAGAGAUGUGGAGGAACACCGAUGGCGAAGGCAGCCUCCUGGGCCAGCACUGACGCUCAUGCACGAAAGCGUGGGGAGCAAACAGG
rnacentral:rRNA from 1 species